ACGGGGUGCAGCAGGCGCGAAAACUUCGCAAUGCGGGAAACCGCGACGGGGGAAUCCUGAGUGCUUGCACAAUGUGCAAGCUUUUCUUGAGUCUAAAUCGCUCUUGGAAUAAGGUCUGGGCAAGACCGAUGCCAGCAGCCGCGGUAACACCGGCGGAUCGAGUGGUGACCAUGAUUACUGGGCUUAAAGCGUUCGUAGCCUGAUGUGUACAUUUCUGGUGAAAUCUAGCGACUCAAUCGUUAGGCGUGCCCGAAACACGACACAUCUUGGAACCGGAAGAGGUUAGCGGAAUUGUGGGGGUAAGGGUAAAAUCUGUUGAUCCCCGCAGAACCACCGAUAGCGAAGGCAGCUAACCAGGACGGCUUCGACGGUGAGGGACGAAACCCUAGGUAGCGAACCGGAUUAGAUACCCGGGUAGUCUAGGGCGUAAACGAUGUCAGUCAGGUGUCGCGUUCAAUACGUUUGAAUUGCGGUGCCGAAGGAAACCGUAAACUGACCGCCUGGGAGUACGUCGCAAG
rnacentral:rRNA from 1 species